CCUUAUAUAAGCACCAAGAAAUAAUGGUCAGUGCCGCCUACUUCCAUCCUUUUCAUAAGUUUAUUUCAAUUCUUCUUCUCUAAUUCAUCCAUAUUUGCAACAUGGUUCUCAAUAGCUCUGAUCUAUUACGACUCUCCAUAGUGCUUUAGCAACCGACAUUUUAGAAAAUUGUGACGGCUAGAUUCCUCCAUUUAAUAACAGGAGCAAC
rnacentral:lncRNA from 1 species